rnacentral:rRNA from 1 species
GACGAACGCUGGCGGCGUGCUUAACACAUGCAAGUCGAACGGAAAGGCCCUGCUUUUGUGGGGUGCUCGAGUGGCGAACGGGUGAGUAACACGUGAGUAACCUGCCCUUGACUUUGGGAUAACUUCAGGAAACUGGGGCUAAUACCGGAUAGGAGCUCCUGCUGCAUGGUGGGGGUUGGAAAGUUUCGGCGGUUGGGGAUGGACUCGCGGCUUAUCAGCUUGUUGGUGGGGUAGUGGCUUACCAAGGCUUUGACGGGUAGCCGGCCUGAGAGGGUGACCGGCCACAUUGGGACUGAGAUACGGCCCAGACUCCUACGGGAGGCAGCAGUGGGGAAUAAUGCACAAUGGGCGGAAGCCUGAUGCAGCAACGCCGCGUGCGGGAUGACGGCCUUCGGGUUGUAAACCGCUUUCGCCUGUGACGAAGCGUGAGUGACGGUAAUGGGUAAAGGAGCACCGGCUAACUACGUG